GUGACUGAUGAGUCCCAAAAUAGGACGAAACAGCUGUCUAGUAC
rnacentral:hammerhead_ribozyme from 1 species